AGAGUUUGAUCAUGGCUCAGAUUGAACGCUGGCGGCAGGCCUAACACAUGCAAGUCGAACGGUAACAGGAAGCAGCUUGCUGCUUCGCUGACGAGUGGCGGACGGGUGAGUAAUGUCUGGGAAGCUGCCUGAUGGAGGGGGAUAACUACUGGAAACGGUAGCUAAUACCGCAUAAUGUCGCAAGACCAAAGAGGGGGACCUUCGGGCCUCUUGCCAUCGGAUGUGCCCAGAUGGGAUUAGCUUGUUGGUGGGGUAACGGCUCACCAAGGCGACGAUCCCUAGCUGGUCUGAGAGGAUGACCAGCCACACUGGAACUGAGACACGGUCCAGACUCCUACGGGAGGCAGCAGUGGGGAAUAUUGCACAAUGGGCGCAAGCCUGAUGCAGCCAUGCCGCGUGUAUGAAGAAGGCCUUCGGGUUGUAAAGUACUUUCAGCGGGGAGGAAGGGAGUAAAGUUAAUACCUUUGCUCAUUGACGUUACCCGCAGAAGAAGCACCGGCUAACUCCGUGCCAGCAGCCGCGGUAAUACGGAGGGUGCAAGCGAUAAUCGGAAUUACUGGGCGUAAAGCGCACGCAGGCGGUUUGUUAAGUCAGAUGUGAAAUCCCCGGGCUCAACCUGGGAACUGCAUCUGAUACUGGCAAGCUUGAGUCUCGUAGAGGGGGGUAGAAUUCCAGGUGUAGCGGUGAAAUGCGUAGAGAUCUGGAGGAAUACCGGUGGCGAAGGCGGCCCCCUGGACGAAGACUGACGCUCAGGUGCGAAAGCGUGGGGAGCAAACAGGAUUAGAUACCCUGGUAGUCCACGCCGUAAACGAUGUCGACUUGGAGGUUGUGCCCUUGAGGCGUGGCUUCCGGAGCUAACGCGUUAAGUCGACCGCCUGGGGAGUACGGACGCAAGGUUAAAACUCAAAUGAAUUGACGGGGGCCCGCACAAGCGGUGGAGCAUGUGGUUUAAUUCGAUGCAACGCGAAGAACCUUACCUGGUCUUGACAUCCACGGAAGUUUUCAGAGAUGAGAAUGUGCCUUCGGGAACCGUGAGACAGGUGCUGCAUGGCUGUCGUCAGCUCGUGUUGUGAAAUGUUGGGUUAAGUCCCGCAACGAGCGCAACCCUUAUCCUUUGUUGCCAGCGGUCCGGCCGGGAACUCAAAGGAGACUGCCAGUGAUAAACUGGAGGAAGGUGGGGAUGACGUCAAGUCAUCAUGGCCCUUACGACCAGGGCUACACACGUGCUACAAUGGCGCAUACAAAGAGAAGCGACCUCGCGAGAGCAAGCGGACCUCAUAAAGUGCGUCGUAGUCCGGAUUGGAGUCUGCAACUCGACUCCAUGAAGUCGGAAUCGCUAGUAAUCGUGGAUCAGAAUGCCACGGUGAAUACGUUCCCGGGCCUUGUACACACCGCCCGUCACACCAUGGGAGUGGGUUGCAAAAGAAGUAGGUAGCUUAACCUUCGGGAGGGCGCUUACCACUUUGUGAUUCAUGACUGGGGUGAAGUCGUAACAAGGUA
rnacentral:rRNA from 1 species